rnacentral:lncRNA from 1 species
GAAAAUUUUAGUAAAUUAUAGUCAAUUUUUAUGCAAUGAAACUAUAUAGCUCUUUUUGUUAGAAAUUGUCUUACUAACUAAGCUGCUGGUGGUUCUGUGACGAAGUAGCUCCUGUUGGCUUCCCUUACACCGGGUCAGACACAGGACAUUAAUUAAGGCUGUGUGUGGUGUUUCUGAAAGGUGAGGAGACUGGGCAUUCUGUCUUUUACUCUACAGAUACAUCGUGGGAGACUCAAAGAUUAAAAUGUGGCCACUCACUGUGGAUCAGAAGCAGAAUCUCACAUCAUAACCCCAAAUGACCUGUUACUCACCAUGUGGCCCAGCUGUCUUCAAACUCACCAGCCUCCUGCCUUAGCCUUCUAAAUGCUUGGAUUACAGGCAUGACCCACCAUAACUGGCUUUGUUUUAGUUUCAGAGAAGAUGAAACUGAUGUGCGUCAAAAAGUAAACUACCCACAUUUUAACUGGGCACAUUCCUGUCAAUCUGAUGAGAAUCUAUUUCAUACCCUGCUUUAGCUGGUAGUCUGUCAAGGAAAUGAGCUGAACAUGUCUGUGUACAGCUUUUGUGCCAUCCCUGGAUGAGCGAGCUGUCUGCCUCUAUGUUCUCCACAAAAUGGAAUAUAGCUGUACACCCAAGCCAAGUUAUGGAGGCUGGGAAGACCUAGAAUGUGGCAUCACUAUUUGGUAAGAACCUUCCUAUGUCAUUGUAGAGUGAGGGACUUGGGUACCACAUGGCAAGGCAUAGUACCCAAAUCCCUUUCCUUCAUAAAAGUAUUAAUGUCAUCAAAGAGGCCCCACCACCAUGAUGCCAUCUGGGGCCUCAUGACCCCAAUGCCUGAUGCCAAAGACUCCCACCUCAAAAUACUUUUUUCUUCAGCAUAACAUUUUAUUAAUUAUCUGGGAAUUUCACAUCAUGUACUCCAAUCACACUCAGUUCCCAGUCCUUCCAUGUCAGCCCCCACCCUUGUUACUUGCCCCCCAAAAGAGGAAAAUUAAAACUAAGAAUUAAAAAAAAUUAAAAAAAUUAAAAUACACAAGUCCAAUUUAUGUUACCUAUAUACUCACUGAAGCAUGGUCAGAUUCUCAGUGGCCUGGCCCUUAAAUAGAAGUGAGUCUUCCCCCUCCUGCAUCUGAAGCCAUUAAUUGCGUAGAGCUACACUUCAACAUCUACAUCACACUUUCAAAGAGUUCUCUUCAGUGGAUUCCUGUUCUAGACCAUUACUUUGGAGACAGGGGUAGGGGAUUGUCACAAAAAGCCUUCCAUGUCCCUUCGUCUCAGUUGUACACCUGCAGUCAUCAAUAUCCCAGUGUAACUAGUCCCCUUGUUCUUCAUAGUUAGUGGAAACAUGGAUCAUGGGCCUCUCAAGGUUUCUGAUAACAUCCCAGACCAUGAACAUGGCCCUCAGGUGCAGGAGGACCACAGAUCCAGACAAAGACCAGAUCACAGCCAUAAAAAUAGCCUCAGGUGGCAGCAAAGGCCACUCAGAUUAGUAUGGCCUUUGGUGGCAGCACUAUCCAUAAACAUCAACGUAGCUUCAGGCAGCAGCACAGACUGUGAACAUCUCAUGGUCUUCAGUGGUAACACAAGCCAUGGAUAUCUACCUACAGCAGAACCAUAUAUAGAUUUGAUAAGUUUCCACACAUGAACCCAGGACACAUUUAAAUCAUGGCAGUCUACAUCCUGAUCCUUCCCUUGUC